GCCCCUCCCUGUAAGUUAAGUCCCUGCAGCCACAGCUGUGGGAGAAGCGUACUUGUAGAAACAAGGCCAGUUCAGCAUCAGAAGGCAGAGGCAGCAUCACCGACUCUCAGCCAUGGAAUGGAUGGAGAGCACAGGGCUCAGGGACAGAACAGGCCAGGUGGAAAGAGGAGAGGCAUGGCGGGGGGCUGAGGCCCCUAAAUUUUGGCCCUAGGGAAAGAGACGAGGGCAGUUGGUCCAGUUUUGAUGGGUAUGGGGAAGGGACUGUAUUAGUAAGCACAGGGGGAGAGGAUGCCAAUAGGCACCCCAGAGGUGACAGGACAGUCUGAACCCCCACCCUGGCAGAAGGGAGCUUGACAGCUCUGGGGCUCUCUGGGAAUGUCACUGCUAAAAUGGAUAUUUAUAUAUAUAUUAACCAUUCAUGGGAGGGCAGGGGCAGGGCCUGGGGUGGGAUCGGAGGAUCUGGCAUCGCAUCCUGUAGCUGGUCAUGCCUACCUGAGAGGCCUGGAGGAAACCAAAGUGGUUUAAAACAUUUAAGUGUGCUUCUUCAGAAAAAGUUUUGUCUCCCCACGCCACUUUUUAUUUAAACUAAAAAUAAUUUCUUGUUAGUGACUGCUUUGCAUUUAGACAGAGUGAUUGAUAACAAUUUAUAGGGGAUUUUGUUGGGGUGAAAAGCACACUGACAUGCCACCGCUGUUUAUUGGAGUGCGAUUUCACGUGCAAAUGCAAAAACAUUAAAAAUGUUAUUGCUCCUUAUGUGCAUAUGCGGCAGCGCUCCUCGAGGGGGCACCAGCUGCGGGAAGUCUGUUCCUUGCAGACCCCUGACCACGCGAUGAAUGAAUAAAGUACACUGACACACAGAUAUUCUGCUCUGCCAGUCCAGCUGAGGGUCCAAGCCCCUUACAGGCUCCCUGCUGAGCCCUGUAAACAGUUGCGACUCGGCAGGGAGCCUGUAAGCACCUGGGACCCUCAGAAUAUCUGUGUGUCAGCGUACUUUAUUCACCGGUCAUUGGGUCAGGGGUCUGCAAGGGACAGACUCCCCACAGCUGGUGACCCCUCGAGAGGAGCCCUGCCCCCAGCUGGUGCCCCAUGUGAGGCGCUGUGUGAGGAACUGUGUGAGGAAUGCUGUGAAGGAAACGCGACGAACCGCCCGAAAACGAAGACAGACAGAACAGCAUGUGGAGACUCACACAGUGAAAUUUUCCUCCAAGAAGUACUGCAUGAACAUACCAGGAAAACCAAAAGAAUUCACAGGACCUUUGAAAGAAGUGGCUUGCCGCUGCAAACUCCAUGAGACAGCUGAAAAACUGGCAAAGCGGCUGAGAUCUUUGAACUCCCUUUGAACUUUGAGAAUGGUGACUGGAAGAUGACAAUUCAUGUUGUUUUCAGGAAAGCUAUGACCGAGAAACCAAGGAACUCACUAUCUUGUCCUCUUGGAUGCCAGCUAUAAAUUGAAUCAAGUUGGACACCGGAAUUUUGACCACUUUCCACCUUUCUAUCGUGGUCAGGUUUCUUCAUGAGAAGAGGAGAUUCGGUCACAGGCAUGUACAGAAGAAGACUGUGUGAAGACACAGAAGAAGUUAUCUACAAACCAACGAGAGAGGCUUCAGAAGAAACCAACAUUGUUGACACCCUGAUCUUGGAUUUCUAGACUCAGGAAUUAUGAGAAAAUAAAUUUUUAUUGUUUAAGCCACCCAGUCUGUGGUACUUUCUUAUGGCAUCCCUGGCUAAUGAAUACAGGAGGCAGCUAAAGGAAUUGAGGAUUAUGCCUAGUUUUGUGGCUUGAGAAAUGGGGUAUUUAGAGGUCUCAUUACCAGGACGAGUAAGAUUGAGGAAAGAACAUGUUUGGAAUCUAUAUGGGAAUGUUGGUGGUGGGAAAAACUGAGAGGUAAAUGUAGUAGUUUAUGUGUGGGAUGCCUAUGCACAUGCAAGAAAAGAUAUCAAGGAGGCAAUGGUAUGUGCAAAUCUGGAAAUUUUAUAAAUUCUUAUGCAGAUGACUUAAAUAAAUAAAUUUGAACCCUGUCAUCUAUUCUCAAUCCCUUCUGGAUUUCAACCAAAAGGGCUGUUAUAUGGGGCUAGCAUCAUAUAUCAAUGUCAGUAAGUUAGAUUGUCCAUUACUUUGUAUUGAAUGGAACUAUGUGCUGCAUGAUUUCUGUGUCUCUAAAAGUCAACAGACCUUGGGCAGACACAGAAGUUUAAAUGUCACCCUGAAAAACCACUCUAAAUUAGGAGGCAGUUGCGACAUUCUAAACAAAUUUAGUAGAUUACAUAUCAUGAGAUAUGGCUUUGGGUUCAAACUCUACCCUUUUUAGAUUAGUGUUCUUGGAUCAUAAUCUCUGAGACUUAGAUUUUUCGUUCAUUUUAUAGUGAAUCUCAUUAGGGCUACUUCACUUGACUUAGGGUAUUUUUGGAAUUUUCAGGGUGAGUUUUUUUGUUGCAUGAUUGAGGAGUUCUAGUUAUUAGAAGCUCUGUGAAGUCCUGCAAAAUGAUUUGACACAAAGCCUUCUUGGAUGUGUACUUACAGUUGCACAACUUGAAAAUAUUCUGUACAUUACAAGUGGGGUUAUAGUCACACACACACGCACACAUUUAACACAUUUGUGUAUUAAUUUUACUUCAGGACUGUAAAGUGUUACAAAAUUCUAGCUAUUAAAAGAGGGCAUUGCACCAAGUUAUGUUGUGUUGAGAACCACUGACCUAUAAUAUCUUUUUAUUGCCUUUAUUAUUUUGAAUGGACACAUAAUUAUACAAUUUAUGGGGCACAGUGUGAUAUUUUGAUGCAUGUAUAUCAUGAAUAGUGAUCAAAUCAGGGUAACUAGCAUAUCCAUCACCUCAACCAUUUAUCAUUUCUUUGUACAUGGAUAAAGAAAAUGUGGUGUAUCCAUUUGUCUGUUGACAAACACUUAGGUUUGGCCAUUGUGAAUAGUACUGCAAUAACCAUGGGAGUGCUUUCAUAUUGCUUUCCUUUCAAUAUGAUAUAUAUCUAUAUAUCUAUAUAUCUAUAUCUAUAUAUAUAUACACUCACAUACACACAUAUGGGGGAUAUAGAAAUGGAAGAAAGAAAGAAGAUCACAUUUUUACCUAACGCUUUCUUCUUUUCUAUUGUUACUUUCUUUAUAUUUUUAUCUUUGAAGCUCAGAUUUAUCAUAAAUGUUGUAUACAAUUUUAAAUAUUUUCCUUUUCCUAAUUGUUUGUGGUAGCAAAGUAACAUUCUGCUUUUAAGGUCUUCUUACCAGAUGUGAAAUAUUCCCAAGUAUUCCCAAAUGAAGCAAAACUUUUCUUGAAAACCUGUGCCCUAAAUAGAAUCAAGUAACUAAAAAUUAAACACAGCCCAUAAAAAUUUUUUGCUUCAUGUUAUAAAUGCCAGUACAAAAAAUAAAUAGAAGAUUAAGUUGCUAUAAUCCAAUUUUUAAUAGCCUUUUUUUUGUAUGAUGCAAUGGUUUGAAUGUUUUUCUCUCCAGAUCUCAUGUUGAAAACUAAUCCUCAAUGCAGCAGUAUUGAAAGGUGAGGCCUUUAAGAGGUGAUUGGGUUAUGAGGACUCUGCUUAAAUAAAUUGAAGCAUCAUUUAUGGAUUAAUGAAUUAGUGGAUUAUCACAGGAAUGGGACUGGUGGACCUUUAAGAGGAAUAUAUAUACACACACAUAUAUAUUUGUUCCAUUGAUCUAAGUUGGAAGGGAAGGUUUAGUAAGAAAUACGUAGUAUAAUAACUAACUGGUGGAGCCCUCUGAUGACUGAUGAUUCUGGCAGGUGAUUUUAUCUGCUCUAUAAUGUCAAAAUUUAAAAAUCAUAAUUAUGAAAAUUUUAACUAUAAAAUGUAAUACACUAUAAAAUACAGUUUUAGAUUUAUUCUGGUACCUCGUAAGUUUAUUGGGGUAGACUAUAUAAGACUAUAAAUCUUUAAUCUAUAAGCAUUAGAUUUUGGUCACAGUUUUGGCUAAAUAUUUAAUUUUUAAAAGAUUAAGCUAAAAGGUGUAUUAUUUGGUACUACACUCAUUGCUAUUGCUAUUAUUCUUUUGCUGCUAGAAGUUGAAAAGUUUGUUUCCUUAUUGAGAAUAUAAAUAAAACAAAUUACUUUGUGUUAACUUUCAAUAUAGACCAGGUCUUUAUGCUAUGUUUCUUGGGCAGAGAAGAGGAGGUCUUACCUGGAUUAUGUUGCACAAAACAAACAAAUGAAAAAUAAUGUAAUAGCCAAGCUCCCCCCUUGACCCUGCAAAUAGCUUAUAGAAGUAGCCUGAGAGUAUCAUAUUAUAAUUAUUCUGCUUAAUUUGCUCUUUAUUUAGAUUUAAAAUACAUCUUUCAUACAUUGUUUAAAAGGAAAAAGGAAUCAUGUCAAAAUGUUUCAGGAAAUGAUUUAAGUUAGAUAUAAAGAACAUAGUUCUGAUUUUGAAGUGUUAGUGGAACUCAAACAGAAAUGAUUAGUGCUCUCUUAAGAUCAUGACAUGAUUCUUAAAGUGGCUAUUUCAGAGCCUAGAAA
rnacentral:lncRNA from 1 species